UACGGAGGGGGCAAGCGUUGCUCGGAAUUAUUGGGCGUAAAGGGCAGGUAGGUGGUCUCAUUUGUCUGGGGUGAAAGCCUUGGGCUUAACUCAAGAAGUGCCCCGGAAACGGUGAGACUGGAGUCCUGGAGAGGGUCGUGGAAUUCCCGGUGUAGCGGUGAAAUGCGUAGAGAUCGGGAGGAACACCAGAGGCGAAGGCGGCGACCUGGACAGGUAUUGACAAUCAACUGCGAAAGCGUGGGGAGCAAACAGG
rnacentral:rRNA from 1 species